GUGGGGAAUAUUGGACAAUGGGGGGAACCCUGAUCCAGCCAUGCCGCGUGUGUGAAGAAGGCCUUUUGGUUGUAAAGCACUUUAAGCGAGGAGGAGGCUUACCUGGUUAAUACCUAGGAUAAGUGGACGUUACUCGCAGAAUAAGCACCGGCUAACUCUGUGCCAGCAGCCGCGGUAAUACAGAGGGUGCGAGCGUUAAUCGGAUUUACUGGGCGUAAAGCGCGCGUAGGUGGCCAAUUAAGUCAAAUGUGAAAUCCCCGAGCUUAACUUGGGAAUUGCAUUCGAUACUGGUUGGCUAGAGUAUGGGAGAGGAUGGUAGAAUUCCAGGUGUAGCGGUGAAAUGCGUAGAGAUCUGGAGGAAUACCGAUGGCGAAGGCAGCCAUCUGGCCUAAUACUGACACUGAGGUGCGAAAGCAUGGGGAGCAAACAGGAUUAGAUACCCCAGUAGUCC
rnacentral:rRNA from 1 species